ACCUGGUGAUUUCCUGAUUUUAAAGUGUCUCCUGUCUAUGUCUGAUCUCGGAAGCCAAGGAGGGUUGGGCCUGGUUAGUACUUGGAUGGGAGACCACCUAGGAAGACCAGGUGCUGUAGGCU
rnacentral:rRNA from 1 species